rnacentral:rRNA from 1 species
GUUAAAAAGCUCGUAGUUGGAUACGAGUCCAGGUUGUAGUGCGGCCAAAGUUCUGAUGAAGCAGCGUAAUGCUGUCGAGUCUGGGCUCUGGGUAACACCCACUACUCAAAGACCUGUACUCUAAGAAUGGUGGUAAUGGUGCCUUGUUAGUAGGUCCCUUCAUUGAGACUGAAAACGACUUCGUGUGAACCAUACGCAUACGGGCCGACCGCCGAAGUUACUGUGAACAAAUCAGUGUGUCCAAAGCAGGCGUUCGCCUUGAAUGAUAAAGCAUGGAAUAACAAGGGAUCGAUUCUCUCGAGUCUUUUUGUUGGUUUUUAACUCGAGAAGGAGUAAUUAGAGCUACGGUUCGGUGUCUCGUCCUAGACAAGAUAUCCGGCCGUGGCCCAGGAGGGAUCAUAGGGACUGCCGGGGUCGUCGUACUC